GGGACCCCGGGGGGUGGCACCAGCCACACGCACCCAGGGAAAGCACGACCCUGCAGACACCUUUUCAGACUCUGGCCUCCAGAACUGGGGGAACAUCCCUGUUUCAAGCCACCCCACUGUGGUUGUCCCACAGCAGCCCUAGGAGGCUGGCACUGGCAGGUGAGAGAAAUCACCUAUCCGGUCUUCAGGAAAUCAGAGAACAGAUAAAGUCACAGUAAACUCGAUUCCUAAAAUCCUACCACCACCAUAGCCCUGGGAAGAUGGGAUGGAACUGCAGAAAGUGGUAGUCACAGGUCAAUAAGAAUUGACCUGCAAAGCCACAAGGAUUUGUUGCCAUUCUCUGACUUAUCGGUGAACAUCAAGGAAAAGAUUGACUCUGAAGAGCCACCAUCCAAGAUCCAGGGAGACACACUGUGGAAUCUGUGGAAUGAAGGUCCUCGGUGACAGGCGCUGUGUGUCCUCCCACCAUCCGAGAUCCAGGCAGACACGCUGUGGAAUGAAGGGUCCUCAGUGACAGGCGCUGUGUGUCCUCCCACCAUCCGAGAUCCAGGCAGACACGCUGUGGAAUGAAGGUCCUCAGUGACAGGCGCUGUGUGUCCUCCCACCAUCCGAGAUCCAGGCAGACACGCUGUGGAAUGAAGGUCCUCGGUGACAGGCGCUGUGUGUCCUCCGACCAUCCGACAUCCAGGCAGACAUGCUGUGGAAUGAAGGUCCUCAGUGACAGGUGCUCUGUGGCUUACGACCAUCCGAGAUCCAGGCAGACACUCUGUGGAAUGAAGGUCCUCGGUGACAGGCGCUCUGUGGCCUCCAUCUCAUCCUACCCUUCAGAGCGCCCGACCUCACCCCUCUGGUAGAAGCUCGCACAUCCAGUGGCCAGCCCUUCCCUUGCUUUCUGGGAGAAGCACCGUGACUUGUAGAAAUGACCACAAUAUUUUUUUAAAUGAAGUUAUGCAAA
ensembl:lncRNA novel transcript, sense intronic to ADARB2